GAAAUGCGAUAAUUAAUGUGAAUUGCAGAAUUCAGUGAAUCAUCGAGUCUUUGAACGCACAUCGCGCCCCCUGGUAUUCCGGGGGGCAUGCCUGUCCGAGCGUCAUUGCUGCCCUCAAGCACGGCUUGUGUGUUGGGCUUCCGUCCCUGGCAACGGGGACGGGCCCAAAAGGCAGUGGCGGCACCAUGUCUGGUCCUCGAGCGUAUGGGGCUUUGUCACCCGCUCCCGUAGGUCCAGCUGGCAGCUAGCCUCGCAACCAAUCUUUUUAACCAGGUUGACCUCGGAUCAGGUAGGGAUACCCGCUGAACUUAAGC
rnacentral:misc_RNA from 1 species